rnacentral:sRNA from 1 species
CUUUUUCGCUCCGUGUCCCGCUGCUGCUCCUGUGAGCGCCCGGCGAGUCCGUCCUGUCCACCGUCCGCAGCUGGUAGCCAGCCUGCCCCUCGCCUCGACUCCCUUUCACCAACACCGACACCCACAUUGACACCUCCAGUCCGGCCAGCCGCUCCACUCGUUGCCUUUGCAUCUCCACACAUGGCGUCCUCCGCGCAGAGCGGCGGCUCCUCCGGGGGACCCGCGGUCCCCACCGUGCAGCGGGGCAUCGUCAAGAUGGUCCUCUCAGGGUGCGCCAUCAUUGUCCGAGGUCAGCCUCGUGGUGGGCCUCCUCCUGAGCGGCAGAUCAACCUCAGCAACAUCCGUGCUGGAAAUCUUGCUCGCCGGGCAGCUGCCACACAACCUGAUGCAAAGGAUACCCCUGAUGAGGUAGGUGUUUCCUGAGGCCAUCGUGAGCCUGUGGACCUAGGUUAUAGCCCACUGUCUUCUGUGGCUGAUGCCAUUUUGAUGUACUCUUUCUUUGUAUUUUGAGUAUUUUUAUAUCAUAGAACUUCUGAUUCUGGAUGUGCCCACGAGCAGCUUGUAUCUGUUGUUUAUAUGUUUACUACCUUUAGUGGCAGUCGAAGUCUUAGAACUUUUUCUUGUACCUUUUCCCAUAGACUUAGAUUUGUCGUGUUUUCACUACUACUUUUCUUGGAAUAGGUUAGGAGCAUUUCCUGGGUAGCCUCGAGCAUUUGAAAUCACCAUUGGUUAUGGCAGAGCUCUUUUAUUAAUUUAUUUUUGAAUUCUUCAUUCAUUUACAUUGUUCAAAAUG